UACGAAGGGGGCGAGCGUUGUUCGGAAUUACUGGGCGUAAAGGGCGCGUAGGCGGCGACCCAAGUCAGAUGUGAAAGUCCUGGGCUUAACCUGGGGACUGCAUUCGAUACGGGCAGGCUAGAGUUCGGUAGGGGAGAUCGGAAUUCCUGGUGUAGCGGUGAAAUGCGCAGAUAUCAGGAGGAACACCGGUGGCGAAGGCGGAUCUCUGGGCCGAUACUGACGCUGAGGAGCGAAAGCGUGGGGAGCGAACAGG
rnacentral:rRNA from 1 species